rnacentral:rRNA from 1 species
GACGAACGCUGGCGGCGUGCUUAACACAUGCAAGUCGAACGGAAAGGCCCUGCUUUUGUGGGGUGCUCGAGUGGCGAACGGGUGAGUAACACGUGAGUAACCUGCCCUUGACUUUGGGAUAACUUCAGGAAACUGGGGCUAAUACCGGAUAGGAGCUCCUGCUGCAUGGUGGGGGUUGGAAAGUUUCGGCGGUUGGGGAUGGACUCGCGGCUUAUCAGCUUGUUGGUGGGGUAGUGGCUUACCAAGGCUUUGACGGGUAGCCGGCCUGAGAGGGUGACCGGCCACAUUGGGACUGAGAUACGGCCCAGACUCCUACGGGAGGCAGCAGUGGGGAAUAUUGCACUAUAGGCGGAAGCCUGAUGCAGCAACGCCGCGUGCGGGGUGACGGCCUUCGGGUUGUAAACCGCUUUCGCCUGUGACGAAGCGUGAGUGACGGUAAUGGGUAAAGAAGCACCGGCUAACUACGUG